rnacentral:rRNA from 1 species
UACGGGGGGGAGCAAGCGUUUGUUCGGAAUUACUGGGCGUAAAGGGCUCGUAGGCGGCCAACUAAGUCAGACGUGAAAUCCCUCAGCUUAACCCGGGGGAACUGCGUCUUGAUACUGGAUGGCUUGAGUUUGGGGAGAGGGAUGCGGAAUUUCCAGGUGUAGCGGUGAAAUGCGUAGAUAUCUGGAGGAACACCGGUGGCGAAGGCGGCAUCCUGGACCGACACUGACGCUGAGGCGGCGAAAAGCUAGGGUAGCAAAACGGGG